rnacentral:tRNA from 1 species
GCCUGAAUAGCUCAACUGGUAGAGCAUCAGACUUUUUAACCUGAGAUCCAGGUUCAAGUCCCUGUUCAGGCA